GCAUUCCAAAUCACGUGAUAUAAUAUGGCUGCUGGAUGGCAAAGUGUCAUGGCGUAUCUAAUGUUUACAUUGACCUUAAUUUGUAGAUGUUUGUAGAGAAAUAUCCUGUUUGGUUUUUUAUUGUGCAGCGAAAUUGUGAUAGCAAAUUAAAUAUAAAGUUAUUUAUCGCCUACAGACUGAAUUAUCCCAUAGUAAUUAUCAGUUUGUGUCAAUUUGUUUAAAAAAAGAAAAAACACCUUUCCUUGUGUUUGAUAGCAAGGGCUUUCUUGAGAAGCCUGUAAAUUGUGGGAAUAGGACAGACACAGACAGGGAUAAAGUCUCACUUUUUACUGUUCCCAAGGCUAUACAUUUCCCCCCAUGCAAUACAUUUAAAUGAAUUAUCCAAACAAAGGCAGGAACAAUGGAUAAAAGCAACAAGGAGAACAGAUCUAACAGAACUAAAAUUAAAAUAUGAGAGUAUGCAGUAAACAUUUUAUAAGUGGAACAAACAUCAGAUAUUUUAAAUGUUGGAAAAGGAGAAACUGUUGAAACUUAACCUAACACAAAUGUUUUUGACUAUUGAAGAUUUGGAUAAACAACAGAAGUUACUUUGGGCUAUAGCUACGUGCAGAUUUAUUUCCUUGUGGCUUCCUAUGUUUAUUCUUUUUAACUAUAGACUUUGAUAUGUUUUUAGUCUCAUGAAGAUUUAGUAAUGUAUUAUUUUAUGUAUAUUGUGAUAUUUAUGUCGAAUAAACAUUAUUAUUAUUA